AGGGGGGCCCGGGAUCCUGGGCUGUGUCCCGGGCGCCCUGGCUCCAGGGCCUUCGCUGCAGGAAUCGCGCUCCCGGGACCACGCAGCCCCCU
rnacentral:pre_miRNA from 1 species